GGGGUCAGCGGGUUACAUCGCCGUCACGCCUUGGCCACAUGCUCCUUCCCCGCUGGGUAUUCCAAUGAGGAAAAUGACAAGUUGGAAAAAAAAAUCUUUACAAAGUUUAAGAGACUCCAUCCGUCUUUGCAAAAGGGAUGGCCUGGCCAGCGAGAGGAAUCCUGUGACCUUGUGAUGUCAGCUGCGCUCAGAAUGCUCGUCUGGACAACCCAAACCAGCCUCUUGGGAGCCGAUGUGCGAUCUCCAUACCCUACGGUAGUCAGAACAUGGACAACUUCUCACUCCUCAGCAUUUCUGGACCUUGAAUCUCCUCCUCAUCCCUGAGCGCUUUUCCUGACAUUAUGUCCUCACGUGCCACCAGCUUGCCAGUAGAUCUGAGGAAAAGUGAUCUGGUUGGCCCAUUUACAGCUAGAAGAUGUCAGUGCUCAGUUCACGACGUCCAAGGUGUCACUGAUUACCUAGUCCUCCCUGAGUGUCCAUUACAGGGAAGGAAUGAAGAUAACAGAAGGUAUAUCACAGGAAGACUGAACUGCAGGGAAAGCUGCAGGCAGUCAGCUAAACUUCAUUUCACAAAUCCUCUCGCUUCAAGCUGGAAAUCAUGUGGCUAUGUUCUGGACAAGGAUGGAAAUGACACAAGAGACAUCUAAUGCUAUUCAUAGAAUGUACUAUAAGUCAUUAUCUUCUUGGUAUGUCUAGGUCUUUGAGGGUCUACAAGUCAGCAGGGAUAGAAAGUACAAGAAAUCUCUUCCUAGUUCCCUGCUUAUAGCAGCUAUCCAAGGAAGUUGCUCAACAAGAACAUUCUAGCCAGUGUAAAAAAAUAAACUUUUAUUGUGUUAGGCCA
rnacentral:lncRNA from 1 species